GAUGAACGCUGGCGGCGUGCCUAAUCCAUGCAAGUCGAGCGAACAGAUAAGGAGCUUGCUCCUUUGACGUUAGCGGCGGACGGGUGAGUAACACGUGGGUAACCUACCUAUAAGACUGGGAUAACUUCGGGAAACCGGAGCUAAUACCGGAUAACAUUUGUAACCGCAUGGUUCUAAAGUGAAAGAUGGUUUUGCUAUCACUUAUAGAUGGACCCGCGCCGUAUUAGCUAGUUGGUAAGGUAACGGCUUACCAAGGCAACGAUACGUAGCCGACCUGAGAGGGUGAUCGGCCACACUGGAACUGAGACACGGUCCAGACUCCUAAGGGAGGCAGCAGUAGGGAAUCUUCCGCAAUGGGCGAAAGCCUGACGGAGCAACGCCGCGUGAGUGAUGAAGGGUUUCGGCUCGUAAAACUCUGUUAUUAGGGAAGAACAAAAGUGGAAGUAACUGUGCACGUCUUGACGGUACCUAAUCAGAAAGCCACGGCUAACUACGUG
rnacentral:rRNA from 1 species